UUUCCGUAAGUGAACCUGCGGAAGGAUCAUUCAUAAUAAAGUGUUUUAUGGCACUUUUUAAAAAUCCAUAUCCACCUUGUGUGCAAUGUUAGAUCUCGUCAAUCUUGGCGAGAUUUUUAUACAUCAACUCAUUCUUUAACUAAUUUGUCUGAAAAAUAUUAUUAAUACUUAAUUCAAAAUACAACUUUCAACAACGGAUCUCUUGGCUCUC
rnacentral:misc_RNA from 1 species